AGCGUUGUUCGGAUUUACUGGGCGUAAAGGGCGCGUAGGCGGCUUGAUAAGUCACUUGUGAAAUCUCCGGGCUUAACUCGGAACGGCCAAGUGAAACUGUCAUGCUAGAGUGCAGAAGGGGCAAUCGGAAUUCUUGGCGUAGCGGUGAAAUGCGUAGAUAUCAAGAGGAACACCUGAGGUGAAGACGGGUUGCUGGGCUGACACUGACGCUGAGGCGCGAAAGCCAGGGGAGCAAACGGG
rnacentral:rRNA from 1 species